rnacentral:rRNA from 1 species
AUUGAACGCUGGCGGCAGGCCUAACACAUGCAAGUCGAGCGAGCGGCGGGUGGGUGCGUAAUGUAUGGGGACUGCCCGAUAGAGGGGGCUAACUACUGGAAACGGUAGCUAAUACUGCAUACUAUUGGAUUCUCCAUAUGGGAUUAGCUAGUGGGUGAGGUAAUGGCUCACCUAGGCGACGAUCCCUAGCUGGUCUGAGAGGAUUAUCAGCCACACUGGGACUGAGACACGGGCCAGACUCCUACGGAGGCAGCAGUGGGGAAUAUUGCGCAAUGGGCGCAAGCCUGAUGCAGCCAUGCCGCGUGUAUGAAGAAGGCCCUAGGGUUGUAAAGUACUUUCAGUCGGGAGGCGUUACCAACAGAAGAAGCACCGGCUAACUCCGUGCCAGCAGCCGCGGUAAUUC